AUGUAAAAGAAAAGCUAAAAAAAAGCUUACUAGAGAAGACAAAAAAUAAAAUAAAACAGGGGACUGAAAUAGAAAUGUUUCCAUCUACCAAGAGCUUCGCGGAAAUCGUGGAGAAGUCUCUAAGCUUUUACCAGACGCUGCAGAAUCAAUGUCAAAGACGAAGUUGAACUCAAUCAAACCUUCUAUGCAACAAAUAAAUGACUCAAAUGUAUCUCUAACUCCUUUCACAAAUCAAUCAAUGCCUGCUUUCUGUCUCUAGUACUCUUCUUCAAAGUGUUUUCUGAUUUGGUAAAGGAGGAAACUUGGCUAAGGGUGAUUGGGAUGAAGAGGCUUGAUCAACUUUUUGAAUUGGUUGACCGGCGGCCAAAUUGGCCAUGGGGAGAAUACAUGAUCAGAGGCAAACUCAUGAUUUGAAGACUUUGGAUGCACCAAUAUAAACAUAUCUUAAACAUGAGUUCUAAGUUAAACAUAAAAUAAAAACAAUAAAGAAAGGUUUUAGUUAAAUUUGAACGCUAGCUAGUCCCCUAGUCCCAAGGAUAGUAUCUCUAGCUUCUACCAAUAGCACAAGGGCACUUCUAUGCUUUCUAUGGUUGCAAUGUUAACUAUGCCCUAAUUUUUAUAGUUUUCAAAAUAAAUAUACACGUACAUAUGAUUUUUUUUGAAAGUUAGCGAGCGCACGUGCACCCCUCCAUAUAUAGUGUGGGUCUACCUCUGUGCAUGAUAGACAAAUAAAUAUUGAUAUCGAUACAUUACAUUAUAGUUUAUAUAAUGUCGAUACACGAUCAUACAUCAUUUAUACAACUUUGAUACAUUAUGUAACUAUUUAUACAAUAUCGACAUAUUACAUCAACACUACAUAAUAUACAUGUUUGUAUUCCAUUACAAUAUCGAUACACAUUUAUACACUAUUUAUACAAUACAAUACAUUGCAUAUAUACUACAUAACCAGUGACAAAUCCAGAAUUUUUGCUUAGGGGGUUCAAAAAAUAAAAGUAUAAACGUGUAAAUAAGUCUUUAGAAAUGAGAACCUUGAAUUCUUUUGAGUUUAAAAUCACAUUUUUAGCUUGUUUUUUAAAGUUAAGAACUUGAAAACAGAACUGAAAAUUAAAAAAUUGAAAAAAAAACUGAAACUAAAAAAGAAAAAGAUAAAAUGCUUUCACAGGGAUUCAAACCAUUGAUGUACAACCUAAUUUCAAGAGGAAUUUUCACCGCGCCAUUAGUUUCUCUUAUUUAUUGAGGAGGUUCAAAAUCUAUAUUUACAAAAAUACAAAAAAUCUAUCGAGGGGUCUCGGUGAACCCCCUGAAACCCAUGUGGCUCUGCCCAUGUACAUAACUACUUAUAAAAUAUUGGUACAUUACAUAUACCCUACAUAAUUAUUUUGUCCAUCAUAUAUACUUGUUUUACCUCAUUUUUACAAGGAAUAAUUAGAGAAAUCCAACUUUUAGUUAUUUAUUACCAUUAUCCUCUAUAAGUUUAUAAAUCUCCAAAAUUUCUCAUUUUUCUCUCAAGUCAAAAAUGUCAUUAAUAUAGCCAACGCUCUAUUAACGUAUCUGACCCUCUUUUUAAUGUAUCAGCGCAUGUAUCCAAUCCUCUCUUUAAUGUAUCAACGCUUUGAUUUUUUGGCCAUUAAUGUAUUCAGACCCUCCAUUAAUGUAUCCGGACCUCUUUUUAAUGUAUCAUCGCAUCUAUCUAACCCUCUUUUUAAUGUAUCAGUGCUUUAAUUUUUUGGCCAUUAAUGUAUCCGACUCUCUUUUUAAUUUAUCAGCGUUUAUAUUAUUAGAUUCGUUUAAGGGAAUUAUGUAAUUAUAAACUUUUAAGGGAUAAAUUGUAACUUUGUCUUAAAAGUAUGUGAUUUCUGUAA